rnacentral:rRNA from 1 species
AGGCUUAACACAUGCAAGUCGAGGGGCAGCAUGGUCUUAGCUUGCUAAGGCCGAUGGCGACCGGCGCACGGGUGAGUAACGCGUAUCCAACCUGCCUUACACUCUUGGACAGCCUUCUGAAAGGGAAAUUAAUACAAGAUGUUAUCAUGAGUAAGCAUUUUCGCAUGAUUAAAGGAUUACCGGUGUAAGAUGGGGAUGCGUUCCAUUAGAUAGUAGGCGGGGUAACGGCCCACCUAGUCUUCGAUGGAUAGGGGUUCUGAGAGGAAGGUCCCCCACAUUGGAACUGAUACACGGUCCAAACUCCUACGGGAGGCAGCAGUGAGGAAUAUUGGUCAAUGGACGAGAGUCUGAACCAGCCAAGUAGCGUGAAGGAUGAAGGUUCUAUGGAUUGUAAACUUCUUUUAUACGGGAAUAAACGGAUCCACGUGUGGAUUUUUGCAUGUACCGUAUGAAUAAGGAUCGGCUAACUCCGUGCCAGCAGCCGCGGUAAUACGGAGGACCCGACCGUUAUCCGGAUUUAUUGGGUUUAAAGGGAGCGUACAUGGGUUGUUAAGUCAGUUGUGAAAGUUUGCGGCUCAACCGUAAAAUUGCAAUUGAUACUGGCAGUCUUGAGUACAGUUGAGGUAGGCGGAAUUCGUGGUGUAGCGGUGAAAUGCUUAGAUAUCACGAAGAACUCCGAUUGCGAAGGCAGCUUACUAACCUGUAACUGACAUUGAUGCUCGAAAGUGUGGGUAUCAAACAGGAUUAGAUACCCUGGUAGUCCACACGGUAAACGAUGAAUACUCGCUGUAGGCGAUAUACAGUCUGCGGCCAAGCGAAAGCAUUAAGUAUUCCACCUGGGGAGUACGCCGGCAACGGUGAAACUCAAAGGAAUUGACGGGGGCCCGCACAAGCGGAGGAACAUGUGGUUUAAUUCGAUGAUACGCGAGGAACCUUACCCGGGCUUAAAUUGCAACCGAAUAUGGCGGAAACGCUAUAGCUAGCAAUAGCGGUUGUGAAGGUGCUGCAUGGUUGUCGUCAGCUCGUGCCGUGAGGUGUCGGCUUAAGUGCCAUAACGAGCGCAACCCUUGCCGAUAGUUACUAACAGGUUAUGCUGAGGACUCUGUCGGGACUGCCAUCGUAAGAUGUGAGGAAGGUGGGGAUGACGUCAAAUCAGCACGGCCCUUACGUCCGGGGCUACACACGUGUUACAAUGGGGGGUACAGAGGGCUGCUACCACGCAAGUGGAUGCCAAUCCCAAAAACCUCUCUCAGUUCGGAUUGAAGUCUGCAACCCGACUUCAUGAAGCUGGAUUCGCUAGUAAUCGCGCAUCAGCCACGGCGCGGUGAAUACGUUCCCGGGCCUUGUACACACCGCCCGUCAAGCCAUGGGAGCCGGGGGUACCUGAAGUGCGUAACCGCAAGGAGCGCCCUGGGGUAAAACUGGU